AUGGCCGCUCCUCCCGAUUUGCCUCCUCUUCUUCGUGUGCGGCGGCCGCUGCAGCUCCUCGCGCCGCCCUCCAUCCACCCUGCCUCUCUUGUUUUCCUCCUCUCUCAGAUCAGGCGCCGUUGCUCGCCGUGGUUCCAGAUCGGGGCGGAGUUCGCCGCCAUUGAGGAGCAGGGGAGGGCGAGGCCCGGGGCUCCACCGCAGCGCGCGCUACACUGGUGCCAGGCUGCAUCUUCUCCUACCCACGUAAACAGCGAGCAGAGGCGUAAUCACGCAGGUGCUAGGUUGCAGGCGAUGAUGAGCUCCUGA
rnacentral:rRNA from 1 species